GUCUCCAACGUUGAAACACUUUUGUUUGGGCUUCCUGCUACUUCCAAAGACAUGCAUGCUGACUGAUUCAAUAACUACAAGUCACGUGGGACAGAGGGAGCUUCUCAGCAGGAAGAGAGAAGCCUGUUGUAAAAAAUUCCAUGAAUUGAUGUCAGCUCAGCAGCCACGAGGAAUAUUGGGCCACACGAGGCAUGUCCUGGGACCCUAACAUCUUUUCCACCACUUCCUGAGCAGGAAACUAAAGGGAAGAAGCAGAAAUUUACAUUCUCUGACAAAGUGCAGAGGCUGCAAUGAGAAGGAGUCCGGAUACUGUGCCCAACCACAAACUGCAUUUCUUGGCUUUCCUUGUGGCUGAGUCUGCCCUUGAGACUGAGUUCUGAACCAGUGGAAGUGGAAGUGUGGCAUGGCACUUGCAAGAAGUCUUCUUAAAGAGAGCUGACUCAGCUGGGAGGAGAGCCCUUUCUGG